rnacentral:precursor_RNA from 1 species
UGUGGGCAGAGCAGAGCCUGCAUUGGCCAUCUCCAUCUGGCCCAGGCCAACAGGCCUUGCUCUGCUCACAGA